AAGAGACUUCAGAUACAGUAUUAGGGGUCCACUAAGGUUAUAUAAAGAGACUUCAGAUACAGUAUUAGGGGACCACUAAGGUCUUUAUAAAAGCAUCCAAAGAGUACCAUGUCAUGGGACCUUUAAA